UACGUAGGGGGCGAGCGUUGUCCGGAAUUAUUGGGCGUAAAGAGCUCGUAGGCGGCUUAGUAAGUCGGCGGUGAAAUACCGAGGCUCAACCUCGGCACUGCCGUCGAUACUGCUAUGGCUAGAGUUUGGUAGAGGAGAACGGAAUUCCCGGUGUAGCGGUGGAAUGCGCAGAUAUCGGGAGGAACACCCGUAGCGAAGGCGGCAUCCUGGACCAAUAUUGACGCUGAGGAGCGAAAGCCAGGGGAGCAAACGGG
rnacentral:rRNA from 1 species